rnacentral:lncRNA from 1 species
AUAUUAAAUAAGACUCAAGGACACAAACUAGGCUAAAAACUCUAAUAACUCGAAACACACUUAGACUGACUCAAAAUAAUGAAAACAAUCAAAUUAGACACUAGGAACUGAAAUGGACGGAAAUUGAAUUAAAAGACUAACAACAAUGAAAACUAACUAAAUAAUAUAAUUUAAUAAUGGGGGGGUUUGGUUUUGACGAGAAGUAAAUUAAACUUAAA